CCAAUUGGGUUGGAGCAGAUCCCUGUGGGAGUAGUUGGGACGGAAUUGGAUGCAGAAAUUCACGAGUGGUUUCUAUUACAUUGUCAAGUAUGAGUUUGGAAGGUCAGCUAUCUGGGGAUAUCCAAGGAUUAGCUGAAUUGGAGACUUUGGAUCUAUCAUACAACAAGGAGUUGAAAGGAUCUCUUCCUCAGUCUAUUGGAAAAUUGACAAAGCUAUCAAAUUUGAUCCUUGUUGGUUGUGGAUUUUCGGGACCAAUACCAGACACCAUAGGAUCUCUGACCCGGCUGGUUUUUCUAUCUUUGAACUCUAACAACUUUAUUGGAGGAAUACCUGCUACCGUUGGCUAUCUGACAGAGCUUUAUUGGCUGGAUUUAGCUGACAAUAAGCUUACAGG
rnacentral:misc_RNA from 1 species